GUGGGGAAUCUUGCGCAAUGGGCGAAAGCCUGACGCAGCCAUGCCGCGUGAAUGAUGAAGGUCUUAGGAUUGUAAAAUUCUUUCACCGGGGACGAUAAUGACGGUACCCGGAGAAGAAGCCCCGGCUAACUUCGUGCCAGCAGCCGCGGUAAUACGAAGGGGGCUAGCGUUGCUCGGAAUUACUGGGCGUAAAGGGCGCGUAGGCGGACAGUUUAGUCAGAGGUGAAAGCCCAGGGCUCAACCUUGGAAUUGCCUUUGAUACUGGCUGUCUUGAGUACGGAAGAGGUGAGUGGAACUCCGAGUGUAGAGGUGAAAUUCGUAGAUAUUCGGAAGAACACCAGUGGCGAAGGCGACUCACUGGCCCGUUACUGACGCUGAGGCGCGAAAGCGUGGGGAGCAAACAGGAUUAGAAACCCGGGUAGUCC
rnacentral:rRNA from 1 species